CCUACGGGAGGCAGCAGUUAGGAAUAUUGGACAAUGGGGGCAACCCUGAUCCAGCCAUGCCGCGUGUGUGAAGAAGGCCUUAGGGUUGUAAAGCACUUUCAGCUGUGAAGAUAAUGACAGUAGCAGAAGAAGAAGCUCCGGCUAAAUUCGUGCCAGCAGCCGCGGUAAUACGAAUGGAGCGAGCGUUGUUCGGAAUCACUGGGCGUAAAGGGUGCGCAGGCGGUCAUGAAAGUUAGAAGUGAAAUCCCAGGGCUUAACCCUGGAAUGGCUUUUAAAACUCCAUGACUAGAGUACUGGAGAGGUUGGCGGAAUUCCGAGUGUAGAGGUGAAAUUCGCAGAUAUUCGGAGGAACACCAAUGGCGUAGGCAGCCAACUGGACAGUAACUGACGCUCAUGCACGAAAGCGUGGGGAUCAAACAGGAUUAGAUACCCUGGUAGUCCACGCCCUAAACGAUGUGUGCUAGUUGUCGGGUUCUUAGAACUCGGUGACGCAGCUAACGCUUUAAGCACACCGCCUGGGGAGUACGGUCGCAAGAUUAAAACUCAAAUGAAAUUGACGGCUUGAGACGNGCGAGACGACGACGAGGAGAGG
rnacentral:rRNA from 1 species